rnacentral:lncRNA from 1 species
GGUUUGGCACAUAUUCUUCCAAUCUUUCAUGCAUGCAUGGGGCAUGCCUGUAGCCCAGAUCAAGCCAACUUCAGCUGCACAAAAGGUUAGGCUAAAUUGUUUGCAGAAAGCUGUCACUGUGCACAAAACAAAAGUUAAAUACUGGAAUUAGGCUAAGCUAGCUAGGUAGGCAUGUGUGCUUAAUGCUGCCUGCUACUUAGAGGGGAGACAAGCAAGAUAUACAAGAUCACUGAACGCUUCACAGGUUUCUACUUGGAGAGCAAGGCCAGCUACUUGCUUAGCAGGAAGGAAUUCAUGGCAAGGACGCAUGUAUCCAGAGCACUGUGUGUGGUCUCAGCAGCAUGAUAAAUCAGAUACGCGAUAAAUCUUGAUGGAUCCAUAGAUUCGUUGCCAGUUUACCUUGAUGUUACAGUCCAUUAGAUUUUCUCGUUUUCAUCUUUCUGACGCCGUUUUUGGUUCACCUUUGCUUCAGUGCUCCAGUUCGAGCUCGCAUAGGACAAAACUGGAGAAUGGAAGCUUGAUCAGAAAACAAGCCAUACAUAGGAAUUUAUAUCUCACUUUAUCACUGGUAGAUUCACCUUUACCUUCCAUGAAUAUAAACAUGCGGGCGCGUGCUCAGCACAAGGUAUUGCUUUGU